rnacentral:tRNA from 1 species
UAGAUUGAAGCUUAUAGAAGCAUUUUAUUUACAUUAAAAAGAUAGUUGUUAAGUCAAUUCAGUCUAA